GCGUAGCCAUGUGGCGAUUUGUUACCGGAUUGCGGGCCACGUUAAACAUGCCGCUAAAGAGGAUUGCAGGUUUUUACG
rnacentral:ncRNA from 2 species